UACGUAGGUGACAAGCGUUGUCCGGAUUUAUUGGGCGUAAAGAGCGUGUAGGCGGCUUGGUAGGUCCGCUGUGAAAACUCGAGGCUCAACCUCGAGAUGUCGGCGGAAACCACUUGGCUAGAGUCCGGAAGAGGAGAGUGGAAUUCCCGGUGUAGCGGUGAAAUGCGCAGAUAUCGGGAAGAACACCUAUGGCGAAGGCAGCUCUCUGGGACGGUACUGACGCUGAGACGCGAAAGCGUGGGGAGCGAGCCGG
rnacentral:rRNA from 1 species